UGCGUAGGCGGAAUAAUAAGUCAGUGGUGAAAUCCUGUGGCUCAACCACAGAACUGCCAUUGAUACUGUUAUUCUUGAAUAUAGUUGAGGUAGGCGGAAUGUGUAAUGUAGCGGUGAAAUGCUUAGAUAUUACACAGAACACCGAUUGCGAAGGCAGCUUGCUAAACUAUUAUUGACGCUGAGGCACGAAAGCGUGGGGAGCGAACAGGAUUAGAUACCCUGGUAGUCC
rnacentral:rRNA from 1 species